rnacentral:rRNA from 1 species
CAGUAGCCGCGGUAAUACGAAGGGUGCAAGCGUUACUCGGAAUUACUGGGCGUAAAGCGUGCGUAGGUGGUGGUUUAAGUCCGUUGUGAAAGCCCUGGGCUCAACCUGGGAAUUGCAGUGGAUACUGGGUCACUAGAGUGUGGUAGAGGAUAGUGGAAUUUCCGGUGUAGCAGUGAAAUGCGUAGAGAUCGGAAGGAACAUCUGUGGCGAAGGCGACUAUCUGGGCCAACACUGACGCUGAAGCACGAAAGCGUGGGGAGCAAACAGGAUUAGAUACCCCCGUAGUCCCUGUCUCUUAUAC